rnacentral:rRNA from 1 species
UACGUAGGGGCUAGCGUUAUCCGGAAUUACUGGGCGUAAAGGGUGCGUAGGUGGUUUCUUAAGUCAGAGGUGAAAGGCUACGGCUCAACCGUAGUAAGCCUUUGAAACUGGGAAACUUGAGUGCAGGAGAGGAGAGUGGAAUUCCUAGUGUAGCGGUGAAAUGCGUAGAUAUUAGGAGGAACACCAGUUGCGAAGGCGGCUCUCUGGACUGUAACUGACACUGAGGCACGAAAGCGUGGGGAGCAAACAGGGUUAGAUACCCUGGUAGUCCCUGAGCGGG